UACGAAGGGUCCAAGCGUUAUCCGGAUUUAUUGGGUUUAAAGGGUGCGUAGGCGGCUUAUUAAGUCAGUGGUGAAAGCCUGUAGCUUAACUACAGAACUGCCAUUGAUACUGAUGAGCUUGAAUAUACUUGAGGUUGGCGGAAUGUGUCAUGUAGCGGUGAAAUGCUUAGAUAUGACACAGAACACCGAUUGCGAAGGCAGCUCUCUGGGACGGUACUGACGCUGAGACGCGAAAGCGUGGGGAGCGAACAGG
rnacentral:rRNA from 1 species